rnacentral:pre_miRNA from 1 species
AGGAGCAACAGCCCCAGUGGCGGGGCCAGCUCUGGAAACCUGGAUUCAGCCCCCGCAGGAACUCCGGAGCUCUCCAUCUGCAGGGCCUGGAGGCUCCGGGGCGGG